AGCGAACGUUUGCGGCGGGCCUAACACAUGCAAGUCGAACGGGUCAGGGGGCAACUCCUGGCCAGUGGCGCACGGGUGCGUAACACGUGGGUAAUCAACCCUUUGGACUGGGACAACCCGGGGAAACUCGGGCUAAUACCGGAUGUGGCAUGGUGGGCAUCUGCCUGUCCUCCGAAAGCCCCGCAAGGGGCACCAGAGGACGCGCCCGCGUCCCAUCAGCUAGUUGGUGAGGAAAUGGCCCACCAAGGCUAAGACGGGUAGCUGGUCUGAGAGGAUGAUCAGCCACACUGGAACUGAGACACGGUCCAGACUCCUACGGGAGGCAGCAGUGGGGAAUAUUGCGCAAUGGGCGAAAGCCUGACGCAGCCACGCCGCGUGUGCGAUGAAGGUCUUCGGAUCGUAAAGCACUGUGGGGGGAGAAGAAACAAGCCGGUGAAGAGCCGGCCCUGACGGUAUCCCCUUAGCAAGCACCGGCUAACUCCGUGCCAGCAGCCGCCGUAA
rnacentral:rRNA from 1 species